CUGGUGUUUGACUGUGGAGGCCUGUCGACAGCUCUGGAGAGUGUCGGGACAAGCCCGAGUCGCGUUGGCGUCAAAUAGACGCAAAACGGACUCCGUCGGACGCGAGAGCAGCCUUCAGCGAAGAAAUCUGCGAAAUAGCAGAUUUUCCUGCUGGCUGUACCGGUACAGCCAGCGAGGUGUACCGGUACGCUAUACUGGCUGAGCGCGUACUGCUCUCGGGUUAGCUUCCUGUACCGGUACGCGAUCCCGUGUACCGGUACACCAGAGUAGGUGAGGGACUUUUUAGUAUUUUUACCUUGCCUCGUUUGUAUCUCCCUCACUCCCCUCUAUAUAGUUUCGUGUAGGGAGAGAGAGAGAGACUUUCUUGCUGUAAUUCUCUA
rnacentral:lncRNA from 1 species